rnacentral:lncRNA from 1 species
AUUCUCGAUCUGGUAAGCAAACAAUAUUUUUUUUGCAUGUAAAGAACUAGUCAUUAAUAUAGCUUGUUGAUAAUACGUUUUGUGGUGUUGAAAGAUGGUUUCGAGAAGUGGGGUUUCUGGAUACUGUGAGUGAAGUCAGUGCGUGAUUCCUGUCUAUCAAGAAACGAGGGAUAACUGGCUGUUUGUGUAAAAUCCGCCGAGCUGAUAAGUCACAUCCAUCGAAUCAAAUUCGAACGCCCGAUUGCUAAACUCCGUCCCGAGUAAGAAUAACGGCAGAUGCUUACUUUCGCAAUUAGUAGCUAGUGCUGGAAUUCGGCUCCUGGAGUGUCCUAGGUCUUCAAAGGUUGACAACGUAUGGAAAUUACUUGCACGGACGAUUCUGCACUACAGGGAAGUUGCAAAUAAUUGCAAUAGCUAGCAAUGAAUUCUAAGAAAUGUAAUGUACCCGGCAGUUGACCUUGCAUUGAAUGUACAGUUGGAUCCCGUGCUAUUAUAUGAAGGCAACUAUUUAAU